UUCCGGUUGAUCCCGCCGGAGGCCACUGCUAUUGGGGUCCGAUUAAGCCAUGCAAGUCGAACGUUCUUUGGAACGUGGCAAACGGCUCAGUAACACGUGGAUAACCUACCCUUAGGACCGGGAUAACCCUGGGAAACUGGGGAUAAUACCGGAUAUAUGGAGAUACCUGGAAUGGUUCUCCACUUAAAGCUCCGGCGCCUAAGGAUGGAUCUGCGGCAGAUUAGGUCGUUGGUGGGGUAAUGGCCCACCAAGCCUUUGAUCUGUACGGGUUGUGAGAGCAAGAGCCCGGAGAUGGAACCUGAGACAAG
rnacentral:rRNA from 1 species